rnacentral:rRNA from 1 species
AAUCAACGCUGGCGGCGUGCCUAACACAUGCAAGUCGAACGCGAAAGCCCCGCAAGGGGGUCAGUAGAGUGGCAAACGGGUGAGUAACACGUGGGUGAUCUGCCUCAGAGUGGGGGAUAACGACCCGAAAGGGUCGCUAAUACCGCAUAACAUCCUGCGCUUGGAUGCGUGGAGAUCAAAGUUGGGGAUCCGCAAGGACCUGACGCUUGGAGAGGAGCCCGCGGCCGAUUAGCUAGUUGGUGAGGUAACGGCUCACCAAGGCAACGAUCGGUAUCCGGCCUGAGAGGGCGGACGGACACACUGGGACUGAGACACGGCCCAGACUCCUACGGGAGGCAGCAGUGGGGAAUUGUUCACAAUGGGCGCAAGCCUGACGACGCAACGCCGCGUGGAGGACGAAGAUUUUCGGAUCGUAAACUCCUUUCGAUCGGGAAGAACAGCUCUGGGUGAAUAGCCUGAGAGCCUGACGUA